ensembl:lncRNA
AGCCUGCUCUGUAUGAGAGAUGGUAGAGCUGCAGUGCGGCUGCAUCUGUGCGCAUGCGCGGCAUGGUUUCGGUGUGGUCGUAGCCUAUAUAAAAGCACAGAAGCAGUGAGGUGCAGAUCACACCGAGAGCUGCUGUAGAUCUUCUGAGAGUGGAUUAAUGUAUUUACAGGAGAUACUCUUGAUUUUUCACUUUUAUGACUCGGAUACAACAUCGGAUUAUAUUAUCUGGAGACUGUGAAGGUGUUUGUUAUAUUCCUGAACCCUUCAGUGAUCCUCGUGUCCUCAUCCUGGAGGAAAACACUCCCAUCAGGAGAGAAAUGUGUCCUCAUCAGGAUGAAGCUGAUCAGAUUUGUGUUGAUUUGAGAGAUGAAUGUUACUCAAACUAUAUCAGAGCAGCCAGAGCUCCUCGACUCAUUCAGACUUCUCCUUUCCUCUGACUAUAAAACACAGACUGUUUAAUCAGUGAAUGAACGUGAUGAAGAAUACUUUGCUGAUUUGAUGAAAGAAACUGCUGCUUUCUAAAGAGAGAAAACACACACUUAGGACUAUAAAACACAGUUAACAUUAUCAGGUACAUGCUGAUCAUUUCCUCUCAGGAGCUGAUCCUGUUCCUGCAAAGAUGAGCUCCAAACCAGAUCUCCAGGAACACAGGGUUGAUCUUCAGAAAACUGAACUCUAUCUGAAGAUCAGUCUCCAGGAUCAGAAAUCAGCUGCUGGAUAUGAUGUGUGAGAGUCUGGGACUUCUUCUGAACAUCUUGAGAAACUAGAACUGAAAAAUACAAACAUCUGAUUACAGCAGUUCUGUACAAGAAUGAUGCUCGCAACACCAAGAUCACGGGUUCAGUUCUGAUUCAUGAAAUAUGAACUGAUCUUGAAUUCAGUGUAAGUCGCUUUAGAUAAAAAAUGUCUGCCAAAUGUACAAAUGUAAUGGUUAUUUUCAUAUAGUUUAUUUAGGCCCCUAUCAGAGAUUAGAGAAGAAGAAACAGUGUUGAUGAUCAAAGACAUGAAAGUGUGUUUUGUCUUAAACAUCAUAAAUACUCACAGUUUGGUCUGAUGUCAUCAAUGCUAUUGCUUCUGACUAACAUCAGCGUCUUUUCCUCUCCUGGUUCUUUAGGUUUUGACUUGCCAUUUUUCUCGUUCAUUCUCUUCUUCUCUUUCAUCUGCAGAUCGGUCCUUUAAUCAUUUAGUCAUGUCUCCUUAAAGAUUAUCUGUUACAAAUAAUAUGGAAGAACAGUUCAGACCACAUCCACACGAAGCCAGAGCUUUCACUAUCUGAUCUUUUAUUUUCCUCGUUCUUCUGUAAACAUGACUUUUUUUUUUUUUACCCUGUUAAGCUUUAUGUUAAAAAACAAUGUUUCCAGAUAUUGAUUCGUUAUGCUCUUUUGUGAGGCUGAAGAUGAAUCUAUGUCUCAUCUGUUUUUGGGGAAUGCACAUAUACUGUUUUAUAAUGUUGAGGGUCUUCAACAUCUUUCAGGGCAAGGACCCCGAAGGUGACAGACACAUGGAGCAGAGACCCCGAUACAAAAUGUGUCGAUAUUAGGCAUAUAGCCUUCGAUAUUAAUAGAAACUAACCAUAUUAUGAUUAAGAAUAAAUUAUAUUAUGAUACAGAUCA